UACGAAGGGGGCUAGCGUUGUUCGGAAUUACUGGGCGUAAAGCGCACGUAGGCGGCUCCUUAAGUCAGGGGUGAAAUCCCGAGGCUCAACCUCGGAACUGCCUUUGAUACUGGGGAUAUCGAGUCCGGGAGAGGUGAGUGGAACUGCGAGUGUAGAGGUGAAAUUCGUAGAUAUUCGCAAGAACACCAGUGGCGAAGGCGGCUCACUUGCACGGUACUGACGCUGAGGUGCGAAAGCGUGGGGAGCAAACAGG
rnacentral:rRNA from 1 species